CGUCCUCCAUGAAUCCUGCACGGACUUUCCGUCGCUGCUUCGUUGUUUCCCUGAUAGCAAGUAACUGCCCCUCCUCUUGGAAUUCCUCUGCAGAUCCCUGACCGCGCAAUCGACGCGACCCUGACGAAUCCGCUCCAGGGGACCUGGAACUUUCCUGUCUCAUCCUUGCCAAUGUUGGUGGUCUUCAGAUGUAACUGUCGUCUUGUACCACAAGCAUCUCCAUAUCAGUCUUGGUGGCCAACGCUCGGUUUCGGAUUUAUUGGAUUCAGGUCUGAGAGUGCAUUAGACCGCUCGCCUGCCUGGAACUUCAACUGGGUUUCCGCCGUGGUGCACUUGAACUGUCUUUGUGUGGCGAGGGUGUUGUGUUCCGUUUGCGAAUAUUUUGAACGCUUUGAAGAGAGGACCGUGUUGUGAGUAAGGGAUCGAACAUCGCUUCCUUAGGAUUUGUGAGUGAGAGUGCUGUGUGGAGAUUCAUUGGGAAAGAUGUGUUACGGUGGAGUUGCGGGGAGCAGUGCGCAUCAACAAGUGCAGCUGCAGAGUCAUGGAGAGCAAGGGACAAGUGCAUGGCAGGAGUCGCAAUUGAAGAAGGCGUUCCAUCUGAUGGACCGCGACGGAGACGGGACUAUUAAGUCCGAGGAUUUAUCUCAUUUUUUGCAGUAUUCGCUCAAGAGUAGUCUGAGUGCUGAGGAGAUAGAUCUGAUGAUAUCGUUGGCAGACAGGGACGGUAAUGGUGCCGUGGACUUUGAGGAGUUUCUGUCACUCGUGAAGGUACACAUUCCUCAGAGGGUGGAGAGCUUGUCGUCGCUCGGUCAGGAUGCCUUGGAGCAGAUGUUUCGCGUGCUGGACCGCAACGGCGAUGGAGUACUGUGUUCGGAUGAUUUAAGCGGCGUGAUGGGGAGUUUGGGGCAGAUUUUAUCGUCAGAGGAUCUUCUGGCUAUGGUUGAGACUGCCACCGGAUCGAAUCGGCGGAAGGUUACCUUUGAGAACUUCUGUCAACUAAUGAGCACCGAUGCUUCAUGUUGAGACAUCGGCGUCUAGGUUUCGUAACCCUAGACUUAGAUUCUGGCGUACCUUAGCUCGUAUGGGCAGUAAUGUGUGUCGUUCAGUAUGAGAAGACCAGCAGGUUGACGAAGAGUGUGUUUUGCGUCGUUUCAUACCUCCAGCGAUUCAACAAUAGAUCAUAUCAGAGUUUAGCAGAUGAUACCAUCACAUUCGAUAUCAGUGAGGCACCUUUCAUAGGUAUCCACCCUGGCGCACGAGCUUAGGACAAUGACGACAAGGGAAACAUUUUAGAGUAUGUACACAUCACAAUUUUUUUCCUAUUAAAUCAAUAAAUUACUUCCAACAUCUUAUUAGGCGAAA